GUUUUGACUGUUCCAGUUCUAGAUGAGUGUACAUUUCCUGCAUGCUCAGGGUCUUUAUUUGCACUUACAUUAGUGCAGCGAGGACUGUAGUGAUGCAACCAGCCAAACCUCCUGGUCUGCUCCUUCUGUGGCAGCCUUUGUGAGCCUUCAUGUAAGAGCAGCUGUUCAAAGGGCUGAACGUUGAGUAAGACACAACCAGGCACUGCCAGAGAGGCUGGAGAACCUUCUAGGAGAUGUCCUGAAGCCCAGGAAAUUGGGCAGAAUAGCAGCAGAGGACUGAGAAGGAGAAAAACCUGAAGUUGACUGGAAACGUUGGUUGGUCAGCAUUUCAGGAACAGGGAGUUUCUUAUAUGGAGCUGUACACCAGAGAAAAUGCAUUUUUACAUCACAAAAGGAAGAUGAUGAAUUGGCUUUCCCCUUGAAAAACAGACUCCUCCAUUGAAAACAACUGGGUAAGAAACUUAGAGGUGAACUCUUUGUCUGCCAUGUAGGAUAUCUGAUGUCCUGCUGCCUGAGAAGAGUCUCUCAUGAAAAAGAAAAAGGAACAGGGGAAAAGAGUGUCUUGGAUUGUCCUCCCUUCUAGACUGGAUCAGCUGGGACAUAUUCUGUUGCAAUCUUUCUCAGCAACUCUUUAAAUUAAAAGAUUUUCUGCUAGAUAUCGAAAAAGGCUCUGAGUGUGGCUAUGAAGUCUGAAUGGUUCUUGCUGGCCAGAGCCUAUGGAGCUUCUGUCUUUCUGUCAUUUCAAGUGUCAUGCAGACAACCAAAACCCACAGCAAUAAAACCUUCACAGUACAACAAACUCCCAUGCUGCUAAUGUAUGCCACAUGGAGCAUUUUGUUUCUAACUGGUCACACUUGGAAAUGAUUCAGUUUCUUUUUGCCACCAAACCCCAUUGUACAAAGCAACCUUUUCCUGUUUGAAGUCCAAUUUGUUUUUUGGGAAAAAAUGAGGCAUUUCUCUUGUGUGAGGCUUAAUAUUUGUGGACAUACAGUCAUACAUAGAUUUCAUAGAAUAUUCUCGGUUGGAAGGGACCCACAAAGAUCAUCUAAUCCAACUCUUAAGUGGAUGACCCUCAUGAGGAUCAAAUCUACAACCUGGGUGUUAUUAGCACCAUGCUCUAAUCAACUGAGUUCACUGGGGUGAUAAAAUAAAACCAAUCAAAAUAUUUGCAUUUCUUUAAGAUUAUUUUAAAUCCUUCUGUUAAAAUCCAGUGAUAUGUGUAAUAGAUUUUCAUGACUUAAGGCUCCACCACUUACAAAAAUACUCAUCGUGUCUUUUCUACAAACUCUUGUACACAGAAUAGUUUGUGCUGCUAACAAAGAAAAAUGCAUUUUAGAAUAAAAUGUGUUUACUGGCUAGGAGGCCUCAGGAAACAUGACAAAAUAUCUUCUGUUGGUUGGUUUUGAUUUUUUUUUUUUUUUUAAUUUGGCAAAAGAGCAGUUUCAGUGAGCUGAAUCCAAAUGUAUUCUCAGCUGGGGAGAAAGGACUGAUUGAUGGUGGUAAAUAUUAAACUGUUCAAGGCCCCUGCUUCACAGCACAUAAAACCAGUCACAUCAACUCAUGUUUCACUUUUUAUGUCUUUUCUUUGAAAAAGACACAAAAAAAUCUGAUAAGCACAGCUCGAAGCCCCACCAAGCUGCCCGUACAACCAGCCUCCCCAGCAUGCAAUUACUUACACAUUUAUCAUGAGAAAAGGACACCCUUAGAUAACAGCGCUCCAAGGGGUCAGGAUGCAAAUUGGGUGCGAAUUUGCUCUAAUGGUGGGAAGCACGGCUCCUACACAUUAAGGCAGUGGGUGCUGAUGUUUAAUUGCAUCGGCCUGCUUAUGGCUUCUAGGGGACAAUCCAGUCACAAAAGCCACCAGGGGCUGUGUGGCUUCAAGUCUUAUUGGCAUGGACACACUUCUGUGGCUGCAGACACACACAGAAGUGUUGGUUAAGAGGAAGACAGGUGGUUGAAGAAGUGAUGAGGAUUGUAACUGAAUUAAGGUUUAAAUAACAAUACUGCACUUUUUUGGCAGCUCCUACAGCUUCGUAUUAAUGUGGCUGCUCCCAGUUUUCCCAAGAGGCUGCAGGGGAAAGGCAGACCUCAGUCUCCAGUCUUUGCUGGGUGAGCUGGGCUCAGGGAGCAGCGUGCACUGACCCCUAGAUCACACGUGGGAAUUUUGCUCAUGAGGAUCAUUCACAGGAUAAUAGAAUCACUCAGGUUGGGGAAGAGCUCUCAGAUCACUGAGUCCAACCAUUAACCCAGCACUACCAUGUUCAC